AUUGAACGCUGGCGGCAGGCCUAACACAUGCAAGUCGAGCGGAUGAAGGUAGCUUGCUCCUGGAUUCAGCGGCGGACGGGUGAGUAAUGCCUAGGAAUCUGCCCGGUAGUGGGGGAUAACGUCCGGAAACGGGCGCUAAUACCGCAUACGUCCUGAGGGAGAAAGUGGGGGAUCUUCGGACCUCACGCUAUCAGAUUAGCCUAGGUGGGAUUAGCGAGUUGGUGGGGUAAAGGCCUACCAAGGCGACGAUCCGUAACUUGUCUGAGAGGUUGCUCAGUAAAAUUGGAACUGAGACACGGUCCAGACUCCUCCGGGAGGCAGCAGUGGGGAACAUUGGACAUUGGGCGAAAGCUUGAUGCAGCCAUGCGGGGUGGGUGAAGAAGGUCUUCGGAUGUAAAAGCACGUUAAGUUGGGAGGAAGGGCAGUAAGUUAAUAAGUUGCUGUUGUGACGUUACCAACAGAAUAAGCAACGGCUAACUUCGUG
rnacentral:rRNA from 1 species